rnacentral:rRNA from 1 species
GUAGGUGGCAAGCGUUGUCCGGAAUUAUUGGGCGUAAAGCGCGCGCAGGCGGUUCUUUAAGUCUGAUGUGAAAGCCCACGGCCUCAACCGUGGAGGGUCGUUAGGAAACUGGAGAACUUGAGUACAGAAGAGGAAAGCGGAAUUCCACGUGUAGCGGUGAAGUGCGUAGAGAUGUGGAGGAACACCAGUGGCGAAGGCGGCUUUUCUGGUCUGUAACUGACGCUGAGGCGCGAAAGCGUGGGGAGCAAACAGGGAUUAGAUACCCUGGUAGUCCACGCCGUAAACGAUGAGUGCUAAGUGUUAGGGGGUUUCCGCCCCCUUAGUGCUGCAGCUAACGCAUUAAGCACUCCGCCCUGGGGAGUACGGCCGCAAGGCUG